rnacentral:pre_miRNA from 1 species
CGGACCCAGAUAUAGAGGAGUAUAACACCAGGAGGUUCCACUUCGCUGAGCAUAUCUCGCCAUCAAAGGAGAGCAGGAGUCUCGCUGAGAGCCAUGAGAAGAUCAGUAAGCUCCAAGCCUGGUGCAAGUUCCAGGACAAGUUCAUUGGUAAGUGCUUCAAGAUGUGCACAUCCAUACAGAAGAAGUUGAACCGCUCCUCUACUAGCACUACUGCACCA